rnacentral:misc_RNA from 1 species
AACCUUAUGGACCUGCGGGCGUAUACCUGCGGAAGGAUCAUUAACAUUUUUGGAGGUAGGCUGUAUAAGUCUGGUUGGUAACAACUAGCAUGGCCCCUCUGAUUUGUACCCUUGUCUAUUUGCGCACUUAUGUUUCCUCGGUGGGCUUGCCUGCCGAUUGGACAAACUUAUAACCUUUUUAAUUGUUAAAUCAGCGUCUGAAACAAACAUAAUAAUUACAACUUUCAACAAUGGAUCUCA